rnacentral:rRNA from 1 species
UACGUAGGGGGCUAGCGUUGUCCGGAUUUAUUGGGUGUAAAGGGCGCGUAGGCGGUUUUGUAAGUCAAACGUGAAAUCUGCAGGCUUAACCUGCAGCCUGCGUUUGAUACUGCUUAACUUGAGUGGAGUAGAGGCAAGUGGAAUUUCCAGUGUAGCGGUGAAAUGCGUAGAUAUUGGAAGGAACACCGGUGGCGAAGGCGGCUUGCUGGGCUCUGACUGACGCUGAGGCGCGAAAGCGUGGGUAG